rnacentral:rRNA from 1 species
GAACGCUGGCGGCAUGCCUUACACAUGCAAGUCGAACGGCAGCACGGGUGCUUGCACCUGGUGGCGAGUGGCGAACGGGUGAGUAAUACAUCGGAACGUACCUUAUCGUGGGGGAUAACGCAGCGAAAGUUGCGCUAAUACCGCAUACGCCCUGAGGGGGAAAGCGGGGGACCGUAAGGCCUCGCGCGAUUAGAGCGGCCGAUGUCUGAUUAGCUUGUUGGUGAGGUAAAAGCUCACCGAGGAGAUGAUCAGUAGCUGGUCUGAGAGGACGAUCAGCCACAUUUUUCCUGAGACACGGGACAGACUCCUAC